rnacentral:rRNA from 1 species
GACAGAGGGUGCAAACGUUGUUCGGAAUUACUGGGCGUAAAGCGCGUGUAGGCGGCUAUGCAAGUCGGAUGUGAAAGCCCUCGGCUCAACCGGGGAAGUGCACUCGAAGCUGCAAGGCUAGAGUCUCGGAGAGGAUCGUGGAAUUCUCGGUGUAGAGGUGAAAUUCGUAGAUAUCGAGAGGAACACCGGUGGCGAAGGCGGCGAUCUGGACGAUGACUGACGCUGAGACGCGAAAGCGUGGGGAGCAAACAGG